rnacentral:rRNA from 1 species
ACCCGAACCCGAACCCGAACCCGAACCCGAGCGCCCAUGCCUCGGCUGCUGCA